rnacentral:rRNA from 2 species
UGGCAACGGAUAUCUUGGCUCUCACAUCGAUGAAGAACGAUACUUGGUAUGAAUUGCAGAAUCCCGUGAACUAUCGAGUCUUUGAAAGCAAGUUGCGCCCGAAUCCAUUAGGCCGAGGGACGUCUGCCUGGGCGUCACGC